AUGGAACAAUGUUGGCAAGGGAAGACGGCAAAACGGAUCCAUAACUUCGGGAAAAGGAUUGGCUCUGAGGACUGGGCUUGGGGGUCCCGGCCCCGAACCCGUCGGCUGUCGGCGGAUUGCUCAAGCUGCUCACACGGCGAGAGCGGGUCGCCGCGUGCCGGCAGGUGGACGGACCGGGAAUCACCCCUUCGGGGGAUUUCCCCGAGCAUGAAAUAG
rnacentral:rRNA from 1 species